UCCCUUAGUAAUGGCGAAUGAACAGGGAAAAGCUCAAAUUUAAAAUCAUUUUUUUUUUUUAAAAUUAUGAAUUGUAAUUUAAAGAAGUUAAAUCAAAGUUUUAAAACUAAUUAAAAUUGGCUGGAAAGCUAUUACAGAGAGGGUGAUAUACCCGUAACUGAUUAGAUUUUAAAAUUUAAGAAUUUUUCUUCAAAGAGUCAGGUUGCUUGGGACUGCAGCCUAAAAUGGGAGGUAAAUUUCUUCUAAAGCUAAAUAUUGGCAAGAGACCGAUAGCGAACAAGUACUGUGAAGGAAAGAUGAAAUAGAACCUUGAAAAGGGGUUUAAAAGAAAGUGAAAUUGUUAAAAGGGAAACGUUUAAAUGGGGUAAAAAUUAAUUUUAAUGAAAUUUAUUUAUAAAUUUUAAUUAAAAUUAAUUAUGGUCAAAUUAAAUUUUUAAUAAUAUAGAUAAAUAUUAUAAAGGUAUAUUGAUUUUUUAUUAAAUUAAUAACUUAUAGUAUAAUAUUUUUAUAUUUUUUUAAAAGAUUUAAUUUAAUAUUAUAAUUUUUUAAACUAAAAUUAAAUAUUAUUUAACAAAAGUUUACUUUUAAUUAAUUAAUAUUUAGUUUUAAAUUAAAAGAAAUUUAAUAUUUUUAUUGAUCUUAACUUUUUUAAACGACCCGUCUUGAAACACGGACCAAGGAGUCUAACAUUUAAUGCGAGUAUUUAGGAAAUUUUAAACCUAUAUGCAAAAUGAAAGUGAAUUCAAGGUAGGAUUAUUAAUUUAUUUAUAAAUUAAUAUGCACUAUCAACCGAUCUAUUUGGAUUUUUUCAAUAGAAUUGAGUUAGAGCGUAAAUGUUGGGACCCGAAAGAUGGUGAACUAUGCCUGAAUAGGGCGAAGCCAGAGGAAACUCUGGUGGAGGCUCGUAGCGAUUCUGACGUGCAAAUCGAUCGUCAAAUUUGGGUAUAGGGGCGAAAGACUAAUCGAAGCAUCCUAAGGCCCC
rnacentral:rRNA from 1 species